rnacentral:rRNA from 1 species
AUUGAACGCUGGCGGCAGGCCUAACACAUGCAAGUCGAACGGUAACAGGAAGCAGCUUGCUGCUUUGCUGACGAGUGGCGGACGGGUGAGUAAUGUCUGGGAAACUGCCCGAUGGAGGGGGAUAACUACUGGAAACGGUAGCUAAUACCGCAUAACGUCGCAAGACCAAAGAGGGGGACCUUAGGGCCUCUUGCCAUCGGAUGUGCCCAGCUGGGCUUAGCUAGUAGGUGGGGUAACGGCUCACCUAGGCGACGAUCCCUAGCUGGUCUGAGAGGAUGACCGGCCACACUGGAACUGGGACACGGUCCAGACUCCUAAGGGAGGCAGCAGUGGGGAAUAUUGCACAAUGGGCGCAAGCCUGAUGCAGCCAUGCCGCGUGUAUGAAGAAGGCCUUCGGGUUGUAAAGUACUUUCAGCGGGGAGGAAGGGAGUAAAGUUAAUACCUUUGCUCAUUGACGUUACCCGCAGAAGAAGCACCGGCUAACUCCGUG